GACGUAGGGCGCGAGCGUGUCCGGAUUUAUUGGGCGUAAAGAGCUCGUAGGCGGCUCGUUGCGUCGGCUGUGAAAACCCGCAGCUCAACUGUGGGCUUGCAGCUGAUACGGGCGGGCUGGGAUUCGGUAGGGGAGACUGGAAUUCCUGGUGUAGCGGUGAAAUGCGCAGAUAUCAGGAGGAACACCGGUGGCGAAGGCGGGUCUCUGGGCAGUAACUGACGCUGAGGAGCGAAAAGCGUGGGGGAGCGAACAGG
rnacentral:rRNA from 1 species